rnacentral:rRNA from 1 species
UACGUAGGGAGCAAGCGUUGUCCGGAAUCAUUGGGCGUAAAGCGCGCGUAGGUGGUCCCGUAAGUCCGCUGUGAAAGUCAAAGGCUCAACCUUUGAAAGCCGGUGGAUACUGUCGGGCUAGAGUGCGGAAGAGGCGAGUGGAAUUCCUGGUGUAGCGGUGAAAUGCGUAGAGAUCAGGAAGAACAUCGGUGGCGAAGGCGCUCUGCUGGACCAUAACUGACACUCAGGGACGAAAGCUAGGGGAGCGAAUGGG